rnacentral:ncRNA from 2 species
GACGUAGGGGGCCAGCGUUGUUCGGAAUUACUGGGUGUAAAGGGUUCGUAGGCGGUGUGGCAAGUCGGGAGUGAAAUCUCUGGGCUCAACUCAGAGGCUGCUUCCGAAACUGCUGUGCUUGAGUGUGAGAGAGGCUCGUGGAAUUGCAGGUGUAGCGGUGAAAUGCGUAGAUAUCUGCAGGAACACCCGUGGCGAAAGCGGCGAGCUGGAUCACUACUGACGCUGAGGAACGAAAGCUAGGGGAGCAAACAGG